GGAGUUACUUGCUGUUAGUCCAGUGAGGAUUGCCAAAGGCAACAGGCUCUUAACACGGAGCUCGCUGGUCAGGGGCUGUUCCUGAGGCUGUGACAAAAUCCAGGGCAACUCAGGCCCAGGGGGUCCCGCUCCACACUCAGCUUCAUGAUCCCAGGAUGGUCUGACUGGGCCCGAAGCCACACCACCAAGCUGUGAUCUUGGCAAAACCCACAAGAGUGGUGUGAAGAUGCAAGAAAGCGCUACCAUGCUGUUUUGCAAGACAGGACGCGCUUCAUGGGUUCCAAACCACCUCUAUAUGGGCUUUGUAAGAUCAGCUGAUUCCCUCCGAGCUAAAAAACACUGAGGAGAUGCCAAGUCA